UACGAAGGUCCCAAGCGUUAUCCGGAUUUAUUGGGUUAAAAGGGUGCGUAGGCGGGCUAUUAAGUCAGUGGUGAAAGCCCCAAGCUUAACUUGGGAACUGCCAUUGAUACUGAUGGUCUUGAGUACAUUUGAGGUGGGCGGAAUGUGUCAUGUAGCGGUGAAAUGCUUAGAUAUGACACAGAACACCGAUUGCGAAGGCAGCUCACUAAACUGUAACUGACGCUGAGGCACGAAAGCGUGGGGAGCAAACAGG
rnacentral:rRNA from 1 species